UACGUAGGGGGCGAGCGUUGUCCGGAUUCAUUGGGCGUAAAGCGCUUUAAGGCGGUUCGCUAAGUCGGGUGUGAAACCUCCAGGCUCAACCUGGAGACGCCACUCGAUACUGGCGUGACUAGAGUUCGGUGAGGGGAUCACGGAAUUCCUGGUGUAGCGGUGGAAAUGACGGCCAGAUAUCAGGAGGAACACCGGUGGGCGAAGGCGGUGAUCUGGGCCCGACACUGACGCUGUAGAGCGAAAGCGUGGGGAGCGAACAGG
rnacentral:rRNA from 1 species